rnacentral:lncRNA from 1 species
UAAAUAUUGUCUUGUUGAUUUGCGUUACACUAGUAUAGAGGGAUUUUUUGCUCCAUAUGGAGGAGUUCGCUAUCACCUGCAUUAAUAGCAAUUCUUUUACCUAGGAAUGCAAAGGAUUGUUUAAUCACUGACAUGCAUCUUUAAGCAAUGCCAUGCUGAAGUCUUUAAAUGUUCUAAAAACAAGAUUCCCAAUUCUCAAACUUCCUCCUCAGUAUGCUUUUCACAAGAAGAUGGAUCUUGUCAUAGUUGCAUAUGUAUUGCAGAAUCACAUUCGACCAGUUUAACAAAGAAACUCGAUUGCGGCAGCAAUGUGGAAUGAUUUCAUCAGUAAAUAGGAUGAAUGUGACCAUCAACAUUCUGCUCCCGGUUGUAUGUAGGACAUACUUUGAUAAAACUAUAUGUUUGUUUUUUCGUCCCUACUCUACUGCCUGGUUUUGGAGGGGACUCUUUUGUUCGCCUUCUAUCUUUAUUAGUAGAAUUUUGUUGAAGUACUCGAAAAUGCUUGACCAAGGAGGUGACAUUCUCUCACAUUGCCGCGGGUCCCAUUUGAAUAAAAAAAAAAAUGCCGACCUCCUGUGUAUGUGUGUAUUCGGUCAAGCCCUAUGUCACCGCCAUUGUUGUUGUAGCUUCGUCCUUAUUAGUAAUGCAAGUAUAACAUCAACUCUUGCUAAACAUAUGUUUUUAGCAGUCAGUCUGAAGUCAUUUUGUCAAGAUGCAAGAGAGCUCUAUUGAUAGGAUUAAGAUUACAAUGUCAAAUGGAGG